AUGGACUCGUUCUUCACCUUCCUUUUCCUCUUAGCCACCCUUUCUUGUGUCCGUGCCCAAAUGCAGCUGGUCCAGUCCGGCCCGGGAGUGGUGAAGCCCGGAGCGACUCUCACCCUGACCUGCACCGUCUCGGGUCAGUCCAUCACUAGUGGUCACGGCUGGCACUGGGUCCGGCAGCCUCCCGGGAAAGGGCUGGAGUGGCUGGGACGAAGAUAUUACAGCAGUUCCACCUGGCAAACAAACUACGGCUCAUCUUUCCAGAGCCGAAUCACCAUCUCCCCUGAUUCCUCCAAGAACCAGUUCUCCCUGCAGCUGGCCUCCCUGACAGCUGCAGACACCGCCACAUAUUACUGUGCCAGAGAGACACAGUAA